GACGAACGCUGGCGGCGUGCUUAACACAUGCAAGUCGAACGAAGUGGCGGACGGGUGAGUAACGCGUAAUCAACCUGCCCUUCAGAGGGGGACAACAGUGGGAAACGACUGCUAAUACCGCAUACUGAAGGAGGGGAUUGCGUUUGAUUGGCUAGUUGGGGGGGUAACGGCCCACCAAGGCGAUGAUCAGUAGCCUGUCUGAGAGGAUGAACGGGCACAUUGGGACUGAGACACGGGCCAGACUCCUACGGGAGGCAGCAGUGGGGAAUCUUCCGAAAUGGACGAAAGUCUGACGGAGCAACGCCGCGGGGGUGAUGAAGGCCUUCGGGUUGUAAAGCUCUGUUAAUCGGGACGCGGUACCGGAAUAGAAAGCCACGGCUAACUACGUGCCAGCAGCCGCGGUAAUAC
rnacentral:rRNA from 1 species